AAAUUGAAGAGUUUGAUCAUGGCUCAGAUUGAACGCUGGCGGCAGGCCUAACACAUGCAAGUCGAGCGGAAACGAGUUAUCUGAACCUUCGGGGAACGAUAACGGCGUCGAGCGGCGGACGGGUGAGUAAUGCCUAGGAAAUUGCCCUGAUGUGGGGGAUAACCAUUGGAAACGAUGGCUAAUACCGCAUGAUGCCUACGGGCCAAAGAGGGGGACCUUCGGGCCUCUCG
rnacentral:rRNA from 2 species